rnacentral:lncRNA from 1 species
GCAUGUCACGCUUCUCCACAUGCCACAUAGGCAGCCUUAUAGAACUGACGUGCAGGGACUCCUUACAUCAGUAGGGCAGCAGUGUAUUAAUCACAUGCUGGGAAAGCAUUUGGCUGACUCUAGCCUAGGCCUGGAAGAAAAGCCCUUGGAGCAAAGGCAGCCCUCUUUUCUCCUCUUUAGCUCUUCUCCCUCCCCGCCGCCCCCACAC